rnacentral:rRNA from 1 species
AUGUCCUCCCCCACAGGGAGCUUGGAUCACGCAGGGUUCACGUUCACGCCGCCGCCGUUCAUCACGUCCUUCACUGAGCUUCUAUCAGGGUCUGGCGCCGGCGACGUGGAGGGGUCGCCAAGGGGGUUCAACCGAGGGGGUCGGGCCGGGGUGCCCAAGUUCAAGUCCGCGCAGCCGCCCAGCCUGCCCAUCUCGUCGCCAGCGUCGCCCUUCUCCUGCUUCUCCAUCCCUGCAGGUCUCAGCCCUGCUGAGCUGCUCCACUCUCCCGUUCUCCUCAACUACUCUCAUAUAUUGGCGUCUCCGACUACAGGUGCGAUCCCUGCGCGGAGAUACGACUGGCAGGCGAGCGCCGAUCUGAACACCUUUCAGCAGGAUGAGGUCGGCCGUGGAGACAGCGGCCUCUUUGGCUUCUCCUUUCACGCAGUGAAGCCCAACGCCACGGUCAACGCUCAAACAAAUUACUUACCUUUAUUCAAGGAACAUCAGCAGCAACAACAACAACAAGUGGUAGAAGUGAGCAACAAGAGCAGCAGCGGCGACAACAACAAGCAGGUUGAGGACGGAUACAAUUGGAGGAAGUACGGGCAGAAGCAAGUUAAGGGCAGCGAGAACCCGCGGAGCUACUACAAGUGCACCUACAACAAUUGCUCCAUGAAGAAGAAAGUGGAACGCUCUCUUGCAGACGGCCGCAUCACGCAGAUUGUCUACAAGGGCGCGCAUGAUCACCCGAAGCCCCCCUCCACGCGCCGCAACUCCUCCGGCUGUGCGGCGGUCAUUGCGGAGGAUCAUACCAACGGCUCGGAGCACUCUGGCCCGACGCCUGAGAAUUCAUCCGUCACAUUCGGAGACGAUGAGGCCGACAAUGGCGCUGAGCCUGAGACCAAGCGCCGGAAGGAGCACGGUGACAACGAGGGCAGUUCAGGUGGCACCGGCGCCUGCGUGAAGCCCGUGCGCGAGCCCACGCUUGUGGUGCAGACGCUGAGCGAUAUAGACAUACUCGACGACGGCUUCCGGUGGAGGAAGUACGGGCAGAAGGUUGUCAAGGGCAAUCCCAACCCCAGGAGCUACUACAAGUGCACAACGGUGGGUUGCCCGGUGCGCAAGCACGUGGAGCGGGCCUCGCACGACAACCGCGCGGUGAUUACCACCUACGAGGGUAGGCACAGCCACGACGUGCCGGUCGGCAGGGGGGCCGGUGCCAGCCGCGCGCUGCCGACGUCGUCUUCCUCCGACAGCUCGGUCGUCGUCUGUCCUGCCGCCGCCGGGCAGGCCCCGUACACCCUCGAGAUGCUCGCCAACCCUGCCGCCGGACACCGAGGCUACGCGGCCAAGGACGAACCCCGGGACGACAUGUUCGUCGAGUCGCUCCUCUGCUAG